UACGGAGGAUCCAAGCGUUAUCCGGAUUUAUUGGGUUUAAAGGGUGCGUAGGCGGCCUAUUAAGUCAGGGUGAAAGACGGUAGCUUAACUAUCGCAGUGCCUUUGAUACUGAUGGGCUUGAAUGUACUUGAGGUAGGCGGAAUGUGACAAGUAGCGGUGAAAUGCAUAGAUAUGUCACAGAACACCAAUUGCGAAGGCAGCUUACUAAAGUAUGAUUGACGCUGAGGCACGAAAGCGUGGGGAUCAAAACAGG
rnacentral:rRNA from 1 species